rnacentral:rRNA from 1 species
AGCAAGCUCUAGAGGCAUGCCUUACACAUGCAGUCGAACGGCAGCACAGAGACUUCGGUCUGGUUGUGCGAGUGGCGAAC